GACGAAGGAUGCAAGCGUUAUCCGGAUUCAUUGGGUUUAAAGGGAGCGUAGGUGGCCUUAUAAGUCAGUGGUGAAAUCUCUGGGCUUAACCCAGAAAUUGCCAUUGAUACUGUAGGGCUUGAGUAUAGUUGCCGUUGGCGGAAUAUGACAUGUAGUGGUGAAAUACAUAGAGAUGUCAUAGAACACCGAUUGCGAAGGCAGCUGACGAAACUAUAACUGACACUGAGGCUCGAAAGUGUGGGGAGCAAACAGG
rnacentral:rRNA from 1 species